rnacentral:lncRNA from 1 species
AGUUUUUAGACUAUGCCUCACCUGGAGUUCCUCCACUGUGUAAAGCAGUGGUUGGCUGUAAGCUACUCACUCCUUUCCGUGUACAGUGUGAAGGUGGAAUGACUACACCUUGCUUCUAUGAGUAAACAACCCCUAUCUUCCCAGCACAACCAUAGGCACAGGUCUAUAAAUAACUUAUUUGUGUCAAUUUAUCAAACUAAAUCAGGAGUACCUGGAUAUGUGGACAUCCCAAAUCAUAUCAGAAACACCAGACACAGGAGCUUAUCAACCUCUCCAGCUACAAACCCUCAUCUAAGACUCAUAAAAGGAGAAGCCCCCACAAGAUUAGACACAGCAGCACCCUGACCCCAUCACCUGGUUGCUUGCACAAGCCUUGCCCAGGAAAAUCAGCAACAAACUUCUAGUUCUAUAGCUCUUGGCUUCAGCACAGUGUGGCUUUCCUGCCCGAGACAACAUCACAUGGCUCACCCCAAGAUGACACUUCCAGCUGACACCUAAAACUUCUGUCUGUCUGGACCCUCGGUCUUGACAACUCUGUGGAACUUGUUCAUUGCAAUUCUUAUCUGACUAUCUAUAGCGGCUCUUUGGCUCUUUCCAUUCAUAUCUGCUCUUGGCCUGUGGUCUUGGCACAACAUCC